CCAUCUUUUAUUAAUAAAUCAAAUUAAAUCUCCCUUACAUAUUUUCUCAGAAAAAAAUGAAGGGGAACAAGUGUUCUUUCUAUCUUGGGCUUGUUUGGUACUAAUUUUAGUAUUUUUAUUUAUCUACAAAUUAGUAUACUAUCAUGUGGAGAUUGAUAUUGGCGACAAUAUUUGCAUGGAAUUUAUGCUAUUCUUACUUUUGUUUCACUCUUUCUAAAAGUAAUAGAUCUUUCUAGCCAAAAGUUCCUAAAGUUUUAUAUGCAAUUUAAGUAAUAAAAAAAUUUUAUGACACAUUUGUUUAGU
rnacentral:lncRNA from 1 species